GAUCUUUAUAACUUAUAAUGCAUUGCAUAUCAAUUCCCAUUGCAGAAUCUCAUGGUGGACGAACAGGGCCUGUCUUCACGUUCGUCAAAACAGACAAGAAUGCCAAUUUCAAGUGGGGAGUUCGUCACCAUGUAGGUCACAAGUAUCGCCACUCUUAAUCACCCUCAAAAAAAAUUACCAAAAUCAUCCAAAAGCAGUAGAUCUUUAUGAUGAUCAUCUUCCAGCUACAGAGAAAUCAUUCAUCUAAUGCACCCAUCUCUCAAAUCUUGAUCAUGCAACUUCAUCUUGAUCCACAAGAUCCCAACAAAGAAAUGUCUCCAUGUAAAUAAAAUACCAAGAAAGCAACUAAAAAAAAAUUGACCUAGAAACUCUAGCACAAGAUACAAUCUCUCGCAUUUGGAAGAAGAGGUGUUUGGGAGUCGUUAAAAUCAAUCAAAAAACAGUCGCUUUGAGACGAAAUGCUGCUGGUCGUAAAACUCUUUUUCACUCCACCCAGAUAUCCGCAAUUUUGAGAAGCUCAACCAGAAUCUCAGGCAUUGGACUCAUCUCGUGACAUUGAACCAUGGAGACAGCAACUUCUGACCACCUUCUCUUCAAACUCCGAACACUCUGGGAAGCUGUAAUCUUUUUACAUUUCCACGCUUCAUCAAUUAUUUAAUGGAUUUUUGGCGCUUAACUGAAAAAUGGAUACAGCAGAUAACUGAAGAUUUAGAACACCUUAGAAGCUGUGAAUAAAUACAAGAAUUUGUCCUCACAGUGACUGAAUAAAGAUUAAAAUUACCAACAAGAAUAAAAGAAAAGUAAAAUUUUAGUACAAUUUAGUACAGUCACUAUUUUUGUAGACAAAAAUAGAAAUUUUAUCGCGUUUAUAUAGCACAGUUAAUUUAAAUAAAUAAAGAAUACACAUCUAAAAGAAAGAACAAAAGAAAA